CUGGAUUUAUUAUUUAUUGCAAAUUAUGAGAACUGUUACAUAGACGAUUCUACAACGGACAAUUCCUUUCGACACUUAUUAGAUCUACGACGGACGACACUUCCUUCUUCAUACUCUUGACGGACACCUUCAAUGAUCCACGACAUGACUACAUUUUUCUCUCUGCGUAGAAUCUUGGCGAACGGCUAUAAUUGUACAUCGCUGGAGAUCUCCUGCACAUUUGCC
rnacentral:lncRNA from 1 species